GACGGAGGAUGCAAGCGUUAUCCGGAAUGAUUGGGCGUAAAGCGUCCGCAGGUGGCAGUUCAAGUCUGCUGUCAAAGACCGGGGCUUAACUUCGGAAAGGCAGUGGAAACUGAACAGCUAGAGUAUGGUAGGGGAGACUGGAAUUCCUGGUGUAGCGGUGAAAUGCGUAGAUAUCAAGAGGAACACCUGCGGCGAAGGCGGGUUGCUGGGCCGACACUGACGCUGAAGCGCGAAAGCCAGGGGAGCGAACGGG
rnacentral:rRNA from 1 species